GACGAACGCUGGCGGCGUGCUUAACACAUGCUUUUUCGAACGGAAAGGCCCUGCUUUUGUGGGGUGCUCGAGUGGCGAACGGGUGAGUAACACGUGAGUAACCUGCCCUUGACUUUGGGAUAACUUCAGGAAACUGGGGCUAAUACCGGAUAGGAGCUCCUGCUGCAUGGUGGGGGUUGGAAAGUUUCGGCGGUUGGGGAUGGACUCGCGGCUUAUCAGCUUGUUGGUGGGGUAGUGGCUUACCAAGGCUUUGACGGGUAGCCGGCCUGAGAGGGUGACCGGCCACAUUGGGACUGAGAUACGGCCCAGACUCCUACGGGAGGCAGCAGUGGGGAAUAUUGCACAAUGGGCGGAAGCCUGAUGCAGCAACGCCGCGUGCGGGAUGACGGCCUUCGGGUUGUAAACCGCUUUCGCCUGUGACGAAGCGUGAGUGACGGUAAUGGGUAAAGAAGCACCGGCUAACUACGUGCCAGCAGCCGCGGUGAUACGUAGGGUGCGAGCGUUGUCCGGAUUUAUUGGGCGUAAAGGGCUCGUAGGUGGUUGAUCGCGUCGGAAGUGUAAUCUUGGGGCUUAACCCUGAGCGUGCUUUCGAUACGGGUUGACUUGAGGAAGGUAGGGGAGAAUGGAAUUCCUGGUGGAGCGGUGGAAUGCGCAGAUAUCAGGAGGAACACCAGUGGCGAAGGCGGUUCUCUGGGCCUUUCCUGACGCUGAGGAGCGAAAGCGUGGGGAGCGAACAGGCUUAGAUACCCUGGUAGUCCACGCUGUAAACGGUGGGUACUAGGUGUGGGGUCCAUUCCACGGGUUCCGUGCCGUAGCUAACGCUUUAAGUACCCCGCCUGGGGAGUACGGCCGCAAGGCUAAAACUCAAAGGAAUUGACGGGGCCCCGCACAAGCGGCGGAGCAUGCGGAUUAAUUCGAUGCAACGCGUAGAACCUUACCUGGGUUUGACAUGGAUCGGGAGUGCUCAGAGAUGGGUGUGCCUCUUUUGGGGUCGGUUCACAGGUGGUGCAUGCCUGUCGUCAGCUCGUGUCGUGAGAUGUUGGGUUAAGUCCCGCAACGAGCGCAACCCUUGUUCACUGUUGCCAGCACGUUAUGGUGGGGACUCAGUGGAGACCGCCGGGGUCAACUCGGAGGAAGGUGGGGAUGACGUCAAGUCCUCAUGCCCCUUAUGUCCAGGGCUUCACGCAUGCUACAAUGGCUGGUACAGAGAGUGGCGAGCCUGUGAGGGUGAGCGAAUCUCGGAAAGCCGGUCUCAGUUCGGAUUGGGGUCUGCAACUCGACCUCAUGAAGUCGGAGUCGCUAGUAAUCGCAGAUCAGCAACGCUGCGGUGAAUACAAUCCCGGGGCU
rnacentral:rRNA from 1 species